rnacentral:rRNA from 1 species
UGCAUAUCAAUAAGCGGAGGAAAAGAAACUAACAAGGAUUCCCCUAGUAACUGCGAGUGAAGCGGGAAGAGCUCAAAUUUGAAAUCUGGCGGUUCUGCCGUCCGAGUUGUAAUCUGGAGAAGCGUUUUCCGUGCCGGACCGUGUACAAGUCCCUUGGAACAGGGCGUCAUAGAGGGUGAGAAUCCCGUCUUUGACACGGACUCCCGGUGCUCUGCGAUGCGCUCUCGAAGAGUCGAGUUGUUUGGGAAUGCAGCUCAAAAUGGGUGGUAAAUUCCAUCUAAAGCUAAAUAUUGGCGAGAGACCGAUAGCGAACAAGUACCGUGAGGGAAAGAUGAAAAGCACUUUGGAAAGAGAGUAAAACAGUACGUGAAAUUGUUGAAAGGGAAACGCUUGAAGUCAGUCGCGUCUUCUGGGACUCAGCCUUGCUUCUGCUUGGCGCACUUCCCAGUUUGAUGGGUCAGCAUCGGCUCUGGGGGGCGGACAAAGGCGUGGGGAAGGUGGCAGCUCCGGCUGUGUUAUAGCCCCGCGCUACGCGUCCCCUGGGACCGAGGAAUCCGGCGCUCGCGCCUGGGAUGCUGGCGUAAUGGCUUUAAACGACCCGUCUUGA